rnacentral:lncRNA from 1 species
GGCAAUAACCAAAUCCGCGUCGUGAGUUGUGGCAAAUGCAAGUCACACGUGCAGAGAGAGCCUUCCCUGCAGCGUUUGGUCCAGAGAAAAGGGUCAGUCGGUAGCACCUGCGAGUAUCCACGCCUGCAGUUCCAACGAUGCCUUUACGCGCCGCGAUCACACGACGUCCCGGCCGUUAACGGGCUCUGCGCUGACGAUGCUGCAGGGAACUUCCCCGUCAGGCCACCCUUCCGGACACUUGCGUUUCUCUGUAAGCUCCCCACACCCAGACGCAACUCGGACAUCACGUGGGUAGCCGCGAGAUCCAAAUCAGGGGCUGAGUUUUAUUACACUUGGCAAUUCCAUCUCAUCAGUUACACAACGUCACUUGCUGUCAUUUGCUGUGCCGAGUGUUGUGUCCAAGUCUGGCUUUGGGACCUCCAGGAAGAGAACUCAAUCAGCAUCGUGUACACUCUAAAAGUCACGGACGACCAUUUGCAGUUGUUAAAAAUCAGCAC